UGGUGGGAUCACAGCUCACUGCAACCUCCAACUCCUCGGCUCAAGUGACCCUCCCGCCUUGGUCUCCCACACCUCUGCGAAUACAGAUGUGAGCCUCUGUGCAUGGCCCAGCCACUCCUUUUUAAUGUGAGAAGAUGAAGAAAGACAAAUUCCACACUGGGAACCAGCCCAGCAUAUAUCACUGCUCAACACCAUAUCAGCAGUUGCUCUAUUUUAAAUGUGGUGUGCCCGUGGCUACAUGAUGCAUUUUGCCUUGAGAUGGAAUCUAGAAAGAAAAACUUCAGUGCUCUUGUAGGGAAUCUGAAGCUGCAGACCCCAAAAAUGCUGGGCUCCAUUUAGGCCUCAUGAGAAAGUUGGUCUGAGAGGAUUCGGUGAAAACAGAAACAUCAGCUGAGACAAAGCUGGAGAGACAGGGUCAAGACUGUCAUCUCCACAAAAACAUGGACCACCUGCUUUUUUCGCUAAGUCACGGUGUCAAGCAUGGUGCCUGAUGCAAUUCAAUAAAUAUCUGUUGAAUUGAAUUGAUCCUGUAAUGUAAAUAUUGACACGUGUAUAUGGAAAUCAAGUUUCUUUAUAGCAUAUAGUCAUUUCGUUAUUACUAAGUGCCUUAUUAUCACAUUACUACUUUAAUAUAUCAUUAAUAUCAUUUAAAUGUGCUGAGUUUCCCUAAUGGAAAAUAAGAGCCUGGGGAACCUGCUCCAGUUGGAAGCUUGGGCCGGGAUCCAAGAGUUGGCAUGACUUGUAAUAACUUUUUGCAUUUGCAUAUUAUUUUCAAUUUUCUGAAUAAUUUCACAUACAUUACCUCAUCAAGAUCCCACAGGAGUCAUUUGUUUUCUCUCUCCUAUAAGCAUGUCUAUUUGCUGAUGUGCCUAUUUUCCACUAUAAGUUUCAGCCUCUGUUCCUCAUGGAAAAAAAGGAAUACAACAAAUAAAGCCUGUAUAGUAGUCUCAUAACAUAUAAGCACCAGGAAAUUCUUGUUACAACAGGGGAGGAUUAUUAGCCCUACGUCAAACUAUCAGUCCAAUUAUUAGAAAUUAUAUGUAUAAUGAUUGCAUAAUUUUAAUGGAUUUAAAUUUAAUAUUACAAUUGAAUUAUAGAAUUUGGAUUUACAGUUAUGAUCUCUUCGUGAAAAUGUUGGAUUGGAUUUGGUUUUUCCUGCAGGGCUUAUGUACCCCUUACUUCUCUAGGGGAGCAAAGGCAUCAUACACAAUCAGAUUUAAUAAUCCAUGAUAGGUAAGCACCUAAAUAGUAUUAAAAUAUGUUGUGCAGCAGUUUUUAACAAAUGACCUGGAAAUAAUAAUUGCCCUUUGAACUCCUCAAAAAAUUAUAUCCUCCUCAAAAUGAAUUGGUUCUAAGGACACUGAAUUUAGCUUUUAUUUUUUUAGGUUUUGGGGUGCAUGUGAAGAACAUGCAAGAUUGUUGCAUAGGUACACACAUGGC